UACGGAGGUCCCGAGCGUUGUCCGGAUUUAUUGGGCGUAAAGCGAGCGCAGGUGGUUUAUUAAGUCUGGCGUAAAAGGCAGUGGCUCAACCAUUGUAUGCAUUGGAAACUGGUAGACUUGAGUGCAGGAGAGGAGAGUGGAAUUCCAUGUGUAGCGGUGAAAUGCGUAGAUAUAUGGAGGAACACCGGUGGCGAAAGCGGCUCUCUGGCCUGUAACUGACACUGAGGCUCGAAAGCGUGGGGAGCAAACAGG
rnacentral:rRNA from 1 species